UCUCUUUGUUCUGUGGGCGGGUUGGCAGUAUGGGUGGGUUCGCUCGGCACGCCUGGCGCAUUCUGCCGAGGCUGCAGUUCAGUGUCUGGAAGACGCUUUGGGGUAUCUAUCCGCCUGCAGGCCCUUGAUCUUCGCAGGCGGGUCCGCAGCGCGGCGAUGGGGUUUUAAGACGUUCAUCGAUGUGUGAUCCUUAAAUAAAGUAUGAGAGCUCUGCAAGCCCAGCUGGGGGCAGUGCACCUUCACAGAGAUUCUGAGCUAACCUCAAGACUGAAAACUUAAGGUUUUGGAAUCUACCCCUUUGGAGACUGUUGGAAUGCUUAGGAUUUUGCUGACCCAAAGGAUGGCCUCUGAUGUUAUACAGUUCCUAUGAAUGUAACACCUUACCUGUGUUAAACUGAGCAGCUGCCAGUGGGCAAAAAACUGUCUAGAAAUUUUGGGACGCUAAGUAGACACUAUUUGCUUGUGUUUUGUCUUAUACAAGUACAUGGUUUUCUUCUUAAAGUUUCAAUAAACUAUUUUAAAGCAA